GUCCCAAUCUGCUCAGGGAACAUGUUGUCCUCUCCUGUUUGCAGGGCCAUUUCUUGGACAAGCAGCAGCUCUGUUUGCUGGACUUUUGGCCCCAUGCAGUCACUGUGAGGCAAGGCACAUCUCACACAAACGGGCCAGUGAAAUGAGGAGAAAAGAAAAGGAGAAUGGAAUCCAAAACUCUGGAGGACAUUUCUGGCUGAAAAUUUGAAGGGCCAUGUUUUACAGUGAGGUUGGAGAUCAUUGGGGAUCUUCAUGGAAGAGCAUACAUUUGAGCUGAAGAUGUAAACAAGCAUAGUUUGAGCAUGGAAACAAGGAGGAUUCCAGCAAAGGAAACUCAAAAGAAUAGUGACAGAAAACAAAGGCAGUCAUUUGGUUCAGGUGCAAGUGACCAGGUAAAGGAUUUCAGGGCAUAAAUUUGGCAGAGCAAACCAUGGGAAGUUUGAAGGACCUGGAAUCUCAAACCUGGGAGUUUAUAAUCUCUUCUAUAGUUGCUUGGAAAGGAUGGACUAAUUUUGAUUGAGACUUGACCAGAACUGGGAUAUAAAAAGAUUCAUCUGGCAAAGUAUAGCAUGAAAUUAAGACAGAAAAAACAAGAGGUGGACCUAAACAUAAGACCUGAAUCUAUAAAAAUCCUAAAAGAAAACAUAGAGAAUACUCUUCUGGACAUUGGCCUUGGCAAAAAAAAAAAAAUUAUAACCAAGUUCUCAAAAGCAAACACAACAAAACCAAAAAUAGACAAAUGGGACUUAAUUAAAUGAAAGAGCUUCUGCACAGCAAAAGAAACAAUCAACAAAGUAAAUAGACAUUUCACAGAAUGGGAAAAAAUAUUUGCAAACUAUACACCCAGUGAAGGGCUAAUAUCCAGAAUCUACAAGGAAUUCAAACAAUUCGACAAGAAAAGAACAAAUAACUCUAUUAAAAAGUGGGCAAAGGACAUGAACAGACAUUUUCAAAACAAGACAUACAAGCGGCAAACCAGCAUAAGAAAACAUACUCAACAUCAUUAAUCAUCAGAGAAAUGCAAAUUAAAACCACAAUGAGAUACCAGCUUGCACCAGUCAGAAUGACUUAAUAAAAAGUCUAAAAACCACAGAUAUUAGCAAGCAUACAAAGAUCUACAAUGUUCCUGGUGUCAGGAUGCCCAUUAUGGAAGCUUACACUGUUGUGGGAGAAUUAAGUCUUGGCAUAACCCAAGGCACUGUUGUCAUUCAAUGGAAAAAUGGAAGCCAAAAAAGAAGAUUUGAUUUAAGAAUAACCAACCCUCUCAUUAUCCCGUUGUGCACUGUUAUGCCUUGUCUCUGGAAACCAAUAUAAUUUACUUCAUUUUGAUUUGUGUUCUGUCUUAUUCAGAAAGUGCUUCAGGUGACUUACAAGAAGAUAUAAAAAUUAAAACUCGAGAAGCUAUUACAGG
rnacentral:lncRNA from 10 species